rnacentral:lncRNA from 1 species
UACAGGAUGAUGUGCUGGUGUGGAACCAGGAAGUGGUAACUCCUUGAACCUCAUCACUCCUUCACACCUUCCGUGUGACUCAUUUUGAUGAAAUUCAACGAACUCCGAGCACCUGCUCACGGAGUAGAGUCUUUUUUAGCUAGAAAGCUCCACAGCUCCCCUCCCCCAAGAUUCGGGAACCCAGGCCAUGAAGAGGCUCAGCAGAGUGACCAGUGGACCUCAGGGGACAGUGCCCCUUCCCGGCUACCCCUGACUGUGCCAGUGCCCUCAUCCCUUUGCUGGGUGCAGUGGGGACUGGCCUUCCAGGGGCUCACAGCCCUUCACCUCUAGUCCUACCAAGUGUCUACAUGGAUCCAAGAAGCUACACUGGCCAGUAGAAUCAGAGGAAUAAUAGUUUUAUGGACACCUGAGACUGAUGGAGAGGAAGAGGGGCCCAUCUGGUACGAGUUCAUCACAAGCUUUACUGAGCUAUCCAAACCACCAAUCUACAUAUACUGCCAUCUCCUCCAAAUGGGCACCGUCUUAGAAAAGUGUGGAGGUAGUCUCAAUUCCCAGUCGCUUGUAGGCAUGUGAUAGUUUAAAGUCAUU